rnacentral:lncRNA from 1 species
GGGUGUCCAGAUACUCCUUAGAAAAGAAAUUUUUCAAGGUGGAGUGAUAGAGCAUAUUUUAGCACAUUUUAUCAUGAUAUUAUUGAUGUUUAUUUGCAUCUUUUCUGCCUAAUUUUGUGGUUUUAAUCAUGUUUUGCAGACAUUAGGUGUAAAGAGACAAUCUGGAGAAAAUACUCUUAAAACUGCCAAAAAGUGUCAAAUAUGGAAAGUGUCAAAAAGGAAGGUUUUCAAAUAAGGAAAGUUUUCAGAAAAAGAAAGUUUUCAAAUAAGGAAAGUGCAGAAGCAAAAGCAGAUAAGGAAAGCUCAGUCAGAUGAUUAUUUGAAAUUCAAAUUGCAGAUCUUUCUUUCAUUGUUCAAAGAUGUGGACACACUGCAGCAGUCAUAUCUACCUAUUUAGGCAGCAAGAUUUCAUUACGACGCACUUGCCUCUUCUGCGUCCAGCAUUCAAAAUUCAAACGAAGGCUCCACCUAAAAAGGAAAGACUGGACAGAUUCAUUUUCCCUUCUGCAGUCCAUGCCGAGCGCACAUCUGCCUUCUGUAGUCCAUGCCGCGUGCCACCUUCCUCCUGAAGAGCAUGUGCACGCCUCUUUCCUUCUGAAUAAUUUGCAACGCGAUUCUUUCCUUUUCAGACACAACUUGGGCAGCAAGCACCUCUUGGGCAGCAAGGAGACCUAGGGCAACACUUUCAACUAUAAAAAGACACAUAACGAGCCACCCCAUUCUUUUUCUACACCCCUUUAGACACACCUACGGGAUUGCAAGUGACACCAUCUCUUCUUCAUCUCUUUCUUUAUUUUUGGUUUUUGUUUCAGUCAUGAGUGGCUAAAACCCUUUUAUUCUAGUUGAAGAUUGAUUGAAACUUAAGUUGUUUUAUGGAUUGUGAGAUCUGAACAUAAACUAUUUGUCUUUGGUUUGUUCAAUAUUCAUACAAUUUCAUGCUUGAUUCCAUUAUUGCUUUGUUGUUUUGAUCAAAUUGGCCACUUGAUUCUUGAUUGCAAGCUAAUAUAUUGUUAGUUUGGAUAAUUUUAAGUCUGUAAUUGCUUGGAUUAUUCAAACAUAAGAAUAUUUGGUGUAAAAACUAAGGAAAUUGUAUGAUCUAGCAACAUCUCAUGCGUCUAGGUAGCUAGGAUUGGAUCUCUCUCUUUCUCAAUGCAAUUGACAGUUGUUUGUUGCCUGAGGCCUGAGGCCUAAGGACAUUCCUUGGCAACUUGUUGAUUAGUAAUUAAUUAGAAGACGUUCCCUAAUUGGUUUAAUCUUAAGGAGAGACAUGGUGGUGGGAAGCAUCUUCCAUCCCUAUAACUAAUCUAUUGAAACAACCAAAGAAACAUAGUGUCAAUAAUCAAUCCUAACAACUGAAGUGAAUCUGAUUCUUCAACUAAAACAUUCUCAUUAUUAAUUUCUUUUAUUUUAAUCAUUUGCUCUCUUUUAUUGCUUUCAGUUUUAGAUCUCUUGAAUCAAUCUCAAACCCCUCCAAUUUACUUUCAAUUUAUUUGUUUUCAGUUUAUCUCGUUUCAGUCUAUUUCUCUUUCAGUUUAUUUUUGUUUCAGUUAAUUCUCUUGAUCUUGAUAAGGAAGAUAGCUAAGUUUUCAAUUCUCUGUGGAUUCGAUCAUUUACCACUAUCUGCAGUAGUAAUAUUGUUGAUAACCGAAAAGGUUAUUUUUGACCGAUUUUGACAACCGCGAGUCAAAAAUUGGCGCCGUUACCGGAUAAUUGAUUGAACUAAUUUAUUUUUCUUUCAAGACCAAAUCAGGAACAAAGCACCACAGAAUCUGCCUCUGAAGAAGCCACCAUCACAGAUCCCAUCUCUGAACCCUCUCCAUCGCACCACACUCUCAUUCUCUUCACCAUUCGGAUUGCCCAUCUUUUCACCAAAGCAAGUCACCAUCGCAGAACUGACUCAUGGAUGAGGUAAGUACAUCUGUUCUCUAUUCUCAACUUUCUGAACUCACAUCUGUUGUGAAAAGUAUUGUCAUAGGUCAAGCUCAACAAUUUCAGCCACCAAGGCCAUGUAGGAUUUGUGCAUAUGUGGAACACCCAACUGAUGAGUGUCCUACACUUUAUGAGUAUGACCAACCAGUGCAUGCGUUUGAAAGAUUCAAUAGUCAGCCUAGACAUACAUUUGGAGGAUUCUAUGAACAACCAAGACAUGAUCCCUACCAUGACACAUACAAUCCAGGUUGGGGAGACUAUCCAGACUUCAGUUAUGCAAAGGCUAACGACUACCAAAAUUAUCAAGCAUAUCAAGCCCAACCAGUACCUCCAAGUUCCAAUACUAAUCUUGAUGAGGUAAUGAAAAUUUUGCAAAGUCUCCAACAGCAAGCAGAUCAAAUGGCCACCAGAGUGAAUGCACUCAUGUUAAGAAGCGAGCAAGAACUUUAAGAUGAUGAGGAAGAUGAUGAGGAAGAUGAUGAGGAAGAUGAUAAGGAAGAUGAUGAAAGUUUGCAAGUACAAGAACAAGUUGCUGAAGAAAAACAAACAAAAAACUGUUUGUCCAAACAAACUGAUCAAACAGAACCUGUUGUUGAUUUAGAUAUCAUUGAUUGUUUGAGCAAAAAUGUCUUUUAUAUAAAUCAAGAUGAUAUACUAAACAAUGAUCUUUGCAGGGAAGAGGGCCAGAAAGAGCCAGAACUGAAAGAAACUGGCUGUUGCAUCCAACAGGUGGACUGCAGCCAUGCGUAGAAUGAACAGAAGCAGAUCACACCACUUCAGCUUGGUGCGCAAAUCAACCUUGCACAGACAGAGAGCAUUCCAGGCACGGCUCUUCAGCUUGAACCACAGGACAGUCAUCCCUUUCAGGUAAGUCCUGCGCAGAAAGAGGAACCGGAAACCAAUUCAGCCAUAGAUCCAACACAAACAGCCCAUGCUCACAAGGAACAAAUGGUAUUCCAAGCACCAAAAUUGAAGGAGCAUGCGGAUCAAUGCCUGCCCAAACCUCCGGAUAAGGUAGAGUUUGUUUUGCCUUAAUUCAGUACUAAAUUGCAACUAGCCAUAGAGAAACAUGAAUUGGAAUUCAAAGUGCUUCCCGAUCAUCUCAAAAAUGCAAACGUAAGAGCUAGAGGCACACCUCAUCUGAAAGAGAAGAAACUAAUCAUGUUACUUCAUGAGUACAUAGAAAAAAUAGGAUGAGUUGUGACCAAAUCAAAAGGAGUGCUACACUUUCUACUCAAUUCAGUUGGGACUCUUUUCCCUUUCCCAAUUACUUGAGCCUUGAUCAAGUGGAUCACACCAUGUACACCACACCCAGAGGAGUAUUCAAUUUUCUUUUGCAUUUUAAUUUUUCCAAUAAUUUGAGGACAAUGCAUGAACUAGGUGUGGAUGUGCAUAUCUCUGAAACUUUUAUUUUCAGUUAUUUUUGCUUUCAGUUUUAGUUUGAAUAGCCACAGUUUGAAUAUUUUUGCUUUCAGUUUUUGUUCUCAUUCUCAGUGUGAUUUUUUUUGCUUUCAGUUUUUGUUCUCAUUCUCAGUGUGAUUUUUUCUUUUUUUUUUUUGCAUUUUUAGCCACAGUUUUUUGUUUCUUAUUUUGAUUUGCUCUAAUCAAACUCAUAAACUAUGUUGGAUGAGUUUUCUUUUCAUGACCCCAUUGAUGUGAUGACUCUUUAAACCUAUGUUGAAUCAAUUGCAGUGAGUUGUAUUCAUGUUUAAGAAUUGCCUUUUGAAUUGAAUCUUUGAGCUUGCCAUGGUGAAGAAUAUAUUGAUGACACUCAUUAGAGAGAAUGAAUUGAAAGUUGUGUGAAUGAACUUAACAUGACUUGAUUUAGCAAUUGGUGUUGAUUUGCCCAAUGCAUGGAUUAAAGGAAUUCAGCAAAGGCUUAGACUUCAUGAGCACAAAUUGAAAAUUGUUCCAAUGGUUGAAAGACUAUGAACAGAGCUAGUAGCCACUUGGACAGGUGACCAACUGAGCAACUGGGGGUGGGUAUCACCAAUAUGUACCUUCACGUCAAAAGGUUGGUGACUUCUUUAAGCAAAACUUAAGUGCAAAAAGCUGAACAAAGUACUUCAAGGUAAUGGCAAGUCACUCUGAAAGCUAGAAAAAGUCUUAACAGAACAAUAAUAUGUGCAUGUGUAAUCUCUCUCUCUUGAGGAAAACAAAUCCUAGCCAUGGCAAGUAAAGGGAAACAAGGAAAAAAGGUGAGUAACCUUGAUGCAUAUAUUCUUCACUGCAAUGAUUCAAAAUAAGUAUCUUGAGUAAGAGAUUAAGUGGAAAUAAGGAUCAAGUAGCAAAGAAAGCUUGUUUGACUAUGUUUAUUUGCUCGAGGACAAGCAAAAGGCUAGGUGUGGGGGUAUUUGAUAGAGCAUAUUUUAACCCAUUUUAUCAUGAUAUUAUUGAUGUUUAUUUGCAUCUUUUCUAUCUAAUUUUGUGGUUUUAAUCAUGUUUUGCAGACAUUAGGUGUAAACAGACAAUCUGGAGAAAAUUCCCUUAAAACUGCCAAAAAGUGUCAAAUAUGGAAAGUGCCAAAAAAGAAGGUUUUCAAAUAAGGAAAGUUUUUAGAAAAUAAAAGUUUUCAAAUAAGGAAAGUGCAGAAGCAAAAGCAGAUAAGGAAAGCUAAGUCAG